rnacentral:ncRNA from 2 species
UGCACAUGGGUUAGUCGAUCCUAA